UUUAAUUUAUUUAAAUAUUGUAAAUUAUUAUUUUUAUUAUAAUAUCUAUUUUUAUAAAUAUUAUGUUGAUUUAUAUUAUUUAAUCUUUUUAUAAGAAUUAUUAUUAAAAUUAAUUUUAACUUUAAUUUCUUAUUAUUAAUUUUUAUAUUAUUUAAUAAAUUAUAUUUCAUUUUAUUUAUUUAUUUAUUUAAUUAAAUUAAUUAUUUAAUUAAUAUUUUAUCAUUAUUUAAUUAAUUAAUAAAA
rnacentral:tRNA from 1 species